CAAGUCGAGGGGCAGCACGGUGUAGCAAUACACUGGUGGCGACCGGCGCACGGGUGCGUAACGCGUAUGCAACCUACCCAUAACAGGGGGAUAAUCCGAAGAAAUUUGGUCUAAUACCCCAUAAUAUUUCAGAAGGCAUCUUUUAUGGUUGAAAAUUCCGAUGGUUAGAGAUGGGCAUGCGUUGUAUUAGCUAGUUGGUGGGGUAACGGCUCACCAAGGCGACGAUACAUAGGGGGACUGAGAGGUUAACCCCCACACUGGUACUGAGACACGGACCAGACUCC
rnacentral:rRNA from 1 species